UACGUAGGGGCAAGCGUUGUCCGGAUUUAUUGGGCGUAAAGAGCGUGUAGGCGGCCAGGUAGGUCGGUUGUGAAACUAGAGGCUUAACCUCUAGACGUCGACCGAAACCAUCUGGCUAGAGUCCGGAAGAGGAGAGUGGAAUUCCUGGAUGUAGCGGUGAAAUGCGCAGAUAUCAGGAAGAACACCCGUGGCGAAAGCGGCUCUCUAGGACGGUACUGACGCUGAGACG
rnacentral:rRNA from 1 species